GCCGGGAUACCGAAGUGGACAAACGGAGCGGUCUGUAAAACCGUUGGCGCAAGCCUUCCUAGGUUCGAAUCCUAGUCCCGGCA
rnacentral:tRNA from 1 species